UGCAGUCGAGCGGAGAGAGGUAGCUUGCUACUGAUCUUAGCGGCGGACGGGUGAGUAAUGCUUAUGAAUCUGCCUAUUAGUGGGGGACAACAUUUCGAAAGGAAUGCUAAUACCGCAGACGUCCUACGGGAGAAAGCAGGGGAUCUUCGGACCUUGCGCUAAUAGAUGAGCCUAAGUCGGAUUACCUAGUUGGUGGGGUAAAGGCCUACCAAGGCGACCAUCUGUAGCGGGUCUGAGAGGAUGAUCCGCCACACUGGGACUGAGACACGGCCCAAACUCCUACGGGAGGCAGCAGUGGGGAAUAUUGGACAAUGGGCGCAAGCCUGAUCCAGCCAUGCCGCGUGUGUGAAGAAGGCCUUAUGGUUGUAAAGCACUUUAAGCGAGGAGGAGGCUACUUUAGUUAAUACCUAGAGAUAGUGGACGUUACUCGCAGAAUAAGCACCGGCUAACUCUGUGCCAGCAGCCGCGGUAAUACAGAGGGUGCAAGCGUUAAUCGGAUUUACUGGGCGUAAAGCGCGCGUAGGCGGCUAAUUAAGUCAAAUGUGAAAUCCCCGAGCUUAACUUGGGAAUUGCAUUCGAUACUGGUUAGCUAGAGUGUGGGAGAGGAUGGUAGAAUUCCAGGUGUAGCGGUGAAAUGCGUAGAGAUCUGGAGGAAUACCGAUGGCGAACGCAGCCAUCUGGCCUAACACUGACGCUGAGGUGCGAAAGCAUGGGGAGCAACAGGAUUAGAUACCCUGGUAGUCCAUGCCGUAACGAUGUCUACUAGCCGUUGGGGCCUUUGAGCUUUAGUGGCGCAGCUAACGCGAUAAGUAGACCGCCUGGGGAGU
rnacentral:rRNA from 1 species